GAAUCGAGGCCGGAGAAAGGGGGUUCUUUAGCGGAGCUGCCAUCGAGCCAGGCGGAAGUCGGGGAUUGCUGCCGGUGUUGUCUGCGUCACCUAGCUGCUCAUCAGGCUCCGCAGCUUUGGCCGCAUGCGGCUGUACCCGGUGGAGCGCUCUCGGGUGUCACAGUGUCGUCAAGAUUCGGCAGAGUUGGAAGCUUUCUUCUCGCCUCCGGCCUCCUAUUUGAGGCCUCCUUCUCCGGGUGGACAAUGGGCACCAGGGGAACAAAGCGGAAGAGAGGGGAGGACAUCCAUCCGUUGACUGCAGCCAAGGGGCAGGCUGUGCCUUUGGCGUUCGCCGCACCGGCUCCUCACGGAGUGCUCAUCAAUCUGGAUUCGGGGGCGGGGUCGAGUGCCUCUGGCAAAUCUGACGCCAGCUCUGCCCCUCCUUGUGACAACGACAUCAAUGUGGCCGCCCGCUUCCUAACAACCGUUUGUGCGACCUCCCCAGAAGGCGUUCGCUCUUUCGUCCGUCGUGUGUCGCCGGCGACAGUUGUUCGGUCCCUCGAUUUGGACCUGAUCCGGCCCAUCUCGCCACAAAAGAUGGCGGAGGGUAAAAUCCGAUGGAGCGACGAUGAAAUUGGCAUAUUUCUUGAGCCAUGCUUGGAGGAGUUGUCUGCAAUGACCAUAACAUCCACUUGUCCAAAGCCGCAAGGCUACAAGAACCUCAUACAGAAGAUGAAGGAGAGAAUCGGGAGAAACCUCACCAAGGAUCAGGUGAAGUACAUAUGGCGUCAAUGUCGUAAAAGGUGGAUGCUUUGGACGUGGUUGGAAUCAAAGGCUACCGGCAUUGGCCGUGACCCGAUAACUCAAGCCAUUAUUGCUGACGACGAUUGGUGGGAAGACAAGGACCAGGUAUGUCACCUACCCUUAUGUUGUGUUCGGUCGAACUAG
rnacentral:lncRNA from 1 species